rnacentral:tRNA from 4 species
GGGCCGGUGGUUUAGGGGUAUAACGCCACGUUCGCAACGUGGAUGUCGGGGGUUCAAAUCCCCCCCGGUCCA